UACGUAGGGUGCAAGCGUUAAUCGGAAUUACUGGGCGUAAAGCGUGCGCAGGCGGUGAUGUAAGACAGUUGUGAAAUCCCCGGGCUCAACCUGGGAACUGCAUCUGUGACUGCAUUGCUGGAGUGCGGCAGAGGGGGAUGGAAUUCCGCGUGUAGCAGUGAAAUGCGUAGAUAUGCGGAGGAACACCGAUGGCGAAGGCAAUCCCCUGGGCCUGCACUGACGCUCAUGCACGAAGCGUG
rnacentral:rRNA from 1 species